GGAGGUAUAGCUCAGUGGUAGAGCAUUAGGCUGUAAAUCCAGAGGUCUCCGGUUCAAACCCGGGUGUCUCCU